rnacentral:lncRNA from 1 species
UUGAAAUUAGGCCCAGUUUGAUAGGGGUUAUUGGGGGAGUUAAUUAGCAUUUCUACAUAAAUUUCAUAGUUUGAUAGGAGUGGAAAGUAAUACCUUUGGCCCGCAUGAAAUCUACUGUUCUCCUUAUAAACUACAACUCACGCCCACCCCCAGUUAUGCUUUCACACUUUCUACAGUAAUGUUGAUUAUUUUUCACGAUUACAAAUUUACCCUUUGAAUUCAACUUGAAAUCUCCCUAGCUUCCAGGUAAAACUUGUCCUAUGAUUUGGGCGAAAGUGAUACCUAGCGAAUUUGGGGAAGGCUGGAGGCAAGGGGGCGACGACGAUAUUGUGGGAGAUUUUUGUUCUCCAGAGAUCACCGCCUUCCUCUACGACGAGCAGCGCCGCCGCAGCCCGCCACCUCGGAUAUCACUGCGGCUUCCACCGCCCACCUUCAUCUCCCUCGCCUCUCUGCUCUCUAUUCUUGCUCGACUACCAUUGAUGAAAGACGUCGACGCUGCCACCUCCGCUGAAUUCGCCAGCCUGGCGUAGCCCCUCAUCUCAUCUCUCUCUCUCUCUCGCUUCCAAGGCCGGUGGGGAUUGUGAAUUUGGUUCUCUCUCUCUCGCUUCCAAGGCCGGUGGGGAUUGUGAAUUUGGUUUGUGUGAUUUUGGUUUUGUGAAUUGAAUUUGAUUUCGUGAAAUUAAUUUGGUGAAUUUGGU